rnacentral:rRNA from 1 species
GCAGGCUGCAACUCGCCUGCAUGAAGGUGGAAUUGCUAGUAAUCGCGAAUCAGAAUGUCGCGGUGAAUACGUUCCCGGGCCUUGUACACACCGCCCGUCACACCAUGAGAGUUGGGGAUACCCGAAGUCAGUAGUCCAACCACGUGAGGACGCUGCCGAAGGUAGGAUUGGCGACUGGGGUGAAGUCGUAACAAGGUAAC